GCUGGGCAUGGUGGUGCAUGCCUUUAAUCCCAGUGGCUCAGGAGGCUGAGGCAGGAGGAUCCUGAGUUCAAAGCCAGCCUCAGCAAAAGCAAGGCACUCAGCAACUCAGGGAGACCCUGUCUCUA
rnacentral:sRNA from 1 species